UGCCCUUCACUCUGGGACAAGCCCUGGAAACGGGGUCUAAUACCGGAUAAUACCCUCACGGGCAUCUGUGGGGGUUGAAAGCUCCGGCGGUGAAGGAUGAGCCCGCGGCCUAUCAGCUUGUUGGUGAGGUAAUGGCUCACCAAGGCGACGACGGGUAGCCGGCCUGAGAGGGCGACCGGCCACACUGGGACUGAGACACGGCCCAGACUCCUACGGGAGGCAGCAGUGGGGAAUAUUGCACAAUGGGCGAAAGCCUGAUGCAGCGACGCCGCGUGAGGGAUGACGGCCUUCGGGUUGUAAACCUCUUUCAGCAGGGAAGAAGCGAAAGUGACGGUACCUGCAGAAGAAGCGCCGGCUAACUACGUGCCAGCAGCCGCGGUAAUACGUAGGGCGCAAGCGUUGUCCGGAAUUAUUGGGCGUAAAGAGCUCGUAGGCGGCUUGUCACGUCGGUUGUGAAAGCCCGGGGCUUAACCCCGGGUCUGCAGUCGAUACGGGCUAGC
rnacentral:rRNA from 1 species